UUGGGCCUACGGGGGACAGCAGUGGGGAAUAUUGCACAAUGGGGGAAACCCUGAACCAGCAACGCCGCGUGAGGGAAGACGGUUUUCGGAUUGUAAACCUCUGUCCUCUGUGAAGAUGAUGACGGUAGCAGAGGAGGAAGCUCCGGCUAACUACGUGCCAGCAGCCGCGGUAAUACGUAGGGAGCGAGCGUUGUCCGGAUUUACUGGGUGUAAAGGGUGCGUAGGCGGCUUGGCAAGUCAGUAGUGAAAUCCAUGGGCUUAACCCAUGAACUGCUAUUGAAACUGUCGAGCUUGAGUGAAGAAGG
rnacentral:rRNA from 1 species